rnacentral:lncRNA from 1 species
UACUGAGGCUGAGGCUGAGGCUGAGGCUGGCAUUUCAGGGGCUGAGUGCCUUUGGCCCUGUGGUGGGGGUUUAAGGGUUACCCUGUGCUCUUUACAGGGACUCAGAGAAACUCAGGGAGGGGGCACUCUGUACUGGCAUAGGAGCUGUGGACCACAUGGGGAAAAUUGGCUCAAGGAAACCCUGUCCCUUUGUCUCUACAUCCCAGGGAGGUUUUCCCUGGAGACGGGGAGUGGCAGGGAGCUCCCUGGCUAGAACAGCCAGAGUGGGGGACAAUGCCCC